GGUUAAGCGACUAAGCGUACACGGUGGAUGCCCUGGCAGUCAGAGGCGAUGAAGGACGUGCUAAUCUGCGAUAAGCGCCGGUAAGGUGAUAUGAACCGUUAUAACCGGCGAUUUCCGAAUGGGGAAACCCAGUGUGACUCGUCACACUAUCAUUAACUGAAUCCAUAGGUUAAUGAAGCGAACCGGGGGAACUGAAACAUCUAAGUACCCCGAGGAAAAGAAAUCAACCGAGAUUCCCCCAGUAGCGGCGAGCGAACGGGGAGGAGCCCAGAGCCUGAAUCAGCAUGUGUGUUAGUGGAAGCGUCUGGAAAGGCGCGCGAUACAGGGUGACAGCCCCGUACACAAAAGCGCAUGUGCUGUGAGCUCGAAGAGUAGGGCGGGACACGUGGUAUCCUGUCUGAAUAUGGGGGGACCAUCCUCCAAGGCUAAAUACUCCUGACUGACCGAUAGUGAACCAGUACCGUGAGGGAAAGGCGAAAAGAACCCCGGCGAGGGGAGUGAAAAAGAACCUGAAACCGUGUACGUACAAGCAGUGGGAGCCCCACCACUAAGCCAGUGGUGAACUCCACAUACGCAUCCUUUGCUGAGGAUACGGUUAACGGAGCGCAAGCGACGUUCAACCGCAAAAGAAGCAGAGGGGGCUUAGUGGUGGGGUGACUGCGUACCUUUUGUAUAAUGGGUCAGCGACUUAUAUUCUGUAGCAAGGUUAACCGUAUAGGGGAGCCG
rnacentral:rRNA from 2 species